AAUACUAUUUAGAUAAUAUAAAUACAAAUUUAGAGAGAAAGUAAUUCAGAAAAUAAAAGUCCAGAAACACUUAUAAAAAUAAGACACUUUGUGUCAGGUCCGAAGAUGGCCCUCAGCUGUGAAGUUAGCGGGAGCGACCCUGUUCCUGCUACAGUGGCUCUGACCACGUUCACUCCCAGGCUGCCGUUCAUCUGGAAGAGAUGGUCUAAGAAAGAAUGCCGCCGAAGCACUGGAUUCUGUCCUCGCGAGUGAACACCAGGCACAGGGUUCAGAUGAUAGAAGUAGGGAAGCAGGAAUAGACAGAAUUCCAGAUAUGAAGAACUGAAACUAGAAGAAUCCACUCAGCCUGGUAAGCCUGUACCUAUACUUUCACCUAUUCCAGAUUCAUCAUAUCCCCAAAGCACUGAGGCCAAACAGUUUGCCCCAAGAAAUAAAAUCCCAGAUGAAGCAACAGGUUUUUGAGAGAGAAGACUGGAAGGAAAUAUUUGCAGAAUAUUACUGUGGAUAAAAUGAGAGUUCCUGUGGCCAGGAUUCUCUCACCUGGACCUGGUCAACUAGCUCACUACACACAUGUUAAUGCUUGUUGUUAUUGACUCUAUAUAAAGGGCCCUGCCCAGUGCUUUGGGUGACACGGUGGCACGGCUGCAAGGCUGCAGGAGAGCAGAGGCUGGAGUGGUGGCAGCACCGAGGACACAGGCCCAGAGGACCAGCUGUGCGGGCAGAGAGGC